rnacentral:rRNA from 1 species
AGUCGAGCGGAUGACGGGAGCUUGCUCCUUGAUUCAGCGGCGGACGGGUGAGUAAUGCCUAGGAAUCUGCCUGGUAGUGGGGGACAACGUUCCGAAAGGAGCGCUAAUACCGCAUACGUCCUACGGGAGAAAGUGGGGGAUCUUCGGACCUCACGCUAUCAGAUGAGCCUAGGUCGGAUUAGCUAGUUGGUGAGGUAAAGGCUCACCAAGGCGACGAUCCGUAACUGGUCUGAGAGGAUGAUCAGUCACACUGGAACUGAGACACGGUCCAGACUCCUACGGGAGGCAGCAGUGGGGAAUAUUGGACAAUGGGCGAAAGCCUGAUCCAGCCAUGCCGCGUGUGUGAAGAAGGUCUUCGGA